rnacentral:rRNA from 1 species
GUUAUUGUUUAUUUGAUACAACAAAUGGAUAACUGUAGAAAAACUAGAGCUAAUACAUGCUUUAAUCGUAAGAUUGUAUUUAUUAGAUAUUCUGAAUUGGUGAAUCAUAAUAACUUCGCAAAUCUCGUUUAUGACGAGAUAAAUCAUCCAAGUUUCUGCCCUAUCAUGCUUUCGAUGGUAGUGUAUUGGACUACCAUGGCUCUCACGGGUAACAGGGAAUUAGGGUUCGAUUCUGGAGAAGGAGCCUGAGAAACGGCUACUACAUCUACGGAAGGCAGCAGGCGCGUAAAUUACCCAAUCCUGACUCAGGGAGGUGGUGACAAGAUAUAACGACGCGGUUAUUAUCGCGAUUGUAGUGAGGGUAUUCUAAACAGAACCUAUAGUACGAUUAGAGGGCAAGUCUGGUGCCAGCAGCCGCGGUAAUUCCAGCUCUAAUAGCGUAUAUUAAAGUUGCUGCAGUUAAAAAGCUCGUAGUUGGAUUUCAAGGAUUGUAGAACCUCCACGGGGAUACAUCCUACUAGUCUUCGGACUGUUACUGUGAGAAAAUUAGAGUGUUUCAAGCAGGCUUUCGCAAGAAUACAUUAGCAUGGAAUAACGAAUGUAUUUAGAAUCUUGGUUAAUUCUAAAUUACGAUUAAUAGAGACAGUUGGGGGCAUUAGUAUUUAAUUGUCAGAGGUGAAAUUCUUGGAUUUGUUAAAGACUAACGUAUGCGAAAGCAUUUGCCAAGGAUGUUUUCAUUAAUCAAGGACGAAAGAUA